UACGUAGGGUGCGAGCGUUGUCCGGAAUUAUUGGGCGUAAAGAGCUCGUAGGCGGUCUGUCGCGUCGAUCGUGAAAACUUGGGGCUUAACCCUGAGCUCGCGGUCGAUACGGGCAUGACUGGAGUUCGGCAGGGGAGACUGGAAUUCCUGGUGUAGCGGUGAAAUGCGCAGAUAUCAGGAGGAACACCGGUGGCGAAGGCGGGUCUCUGGGCCGAUACUGACGCUGAGGUGCGAAAGCGUGGGGAGCAAACAGG
rnacentral:rRNA from 1 species